GUGGAAGGUGGCUUCACAGGAGGAGAUGGAGUGUAAGGAGCUUUAGCAGGCGGGGGAGAAGACGGUGGCUUCACCGGUGGAGAAGGAGUAUAAGGAGGUGGUGGAAGCUUAACUGGAGGAGCAGGGGUGUAUGGUGCUUUAACUGGCGGUGGUGUCAAAACAGGGAUUGUGGGUGGCUUAACAGGCGGAGCUGGAGGUGGCGUCAAAACAGGGAUUGUUGGUGGCUUCACAGGCGAAGCUGGCGGUGGGGUCAAAACAGGGAUUGUUGGUGGCUUCACUGGCGGCGCUUUGUAAACUGGAGUAGAAGGAGCUUGAACUGGAACUGGAACAUGGGGGUAAACAGCAUCCUGUAAUGUAAAACCAAAUACCAAGCAACAUUCACUUCUCUUCACUAUGUUACCAAAAGACAUUACAAAAAUGUGGUUAAAAAUGUUUAAACAACAGAACAAAACACUAAAUAAUGACAACAAAAGAAACAAAUCCCAGCUCACAA
rnacentral:lncRNA from 1 species